rnacentral:piRNA from 1 species
GCUCAAUAAAAAGUGAGCACUGC